rnacentral:tRNA from 1 species
AAUUAAUGAACUUGUUAUAAGUGUAUAUUUUGAAAAUAUAAAAAGGAGACUAACUUUCUCCAUUAAUUU